rnacentral:sRNA from 1 species
AAUUAAACCUGACAGCAGCGAACACGGAAUGCAAUGGAGUAAAGCAAAUGGCAGGACUUUCA